rnacentral:rRNA from 1 species
UACAGAGGUCUCAAGCGUUGUUCGGAUUCAUUGGGCGUAAAGGGUGCGUAGGUGGCUUUGUAAGUCAGUGGUGAAAUCUCGGAGCUUAACUCCGAAACUGCCAUUGAUACUGCUUAGCUUGAAUCAAGUAGAGGUGGAUGGAAUAUUACAUGUAGCGGUGAAAUGCUUAGAUAUGUAAUAGAACACCGAUUGCGAAGGCAGUUCACUAUGCUUGUAUUGACACUGAGGCACGAAAGCGUGGGGAUCAAACAGG